AUGGUGCCAAGAGGAGACACUCAGGCUCUGAUGUGUUCAAUUUAUGAUUUUUUUCCCAAUGAAUUGACGGUAAAAUGGAAGAAAAAUGAAAUAGAAGAAACUGGCUUCACUACUUGGCCCCCCAAAUCAUUCAGGAACACGUUUUCAGCUGUCAGUGUUCUGAAUGUGAAGAACACAGACUGGGACAGUAAAGCCGUGUACACAUGUGAGGUGACACACAAAGGCAAAUUAUAUAUGAAGAAGGCCUCAAAAGCUGCUGUCACAUUGGCCCUUAACCAACCAAGUCCCAAAGAAUUGUUCAACAACAACCAGGCAAAGUUGGACUGUAUCGUUUCUGGACAAGACAGGAGUGUUGUAAACGACAUGAGAAUAACUUGGCAAAUUAAUGAACACAAUGUGUCUGAUGCCAUUACUUCGACGCCAAAUUCCAGAAAUGGUCAACACAGCAAAAUCAGUACGUUGACUCGGAGUCUCUCAGAGUGGCAGACAGUCAACAAAGUGAGAUGUUCUGCCAUGAGAGACAAUAUGACACCAGUAAUUCAAGACCUGACUGUCCAUAAAGGAGAUUGGAAGAAAACAAAAGUGACCGUCCACGUCCUCCCAGAGGAGGAAAUCAGCAAAGGAAACGAGGUCACUCUAGUGUGCCUGGUCUCCAGUCUUGAACAGCAGGAUUACUACAUCGCCUGGUCUGAGUACAUUGGACAAAAGACUGGAAACUAUGUUGAUGGCAUUAACUUCCCACCUCAGAAGACCCAACAAGGCUACUCAGUAACAAGUGUUUACUACACAACCAAGGACAAGUGGAACAACCACAUGUACACGUGCAACGUCUGGCCUGCUGGCAGCAAUAGUUCCAUGAAUCCACAGGCAGUGUCUAAGGCCCAGGGUAACUCCUUAGAAUGUGACAUACAGAAGACUUAGCUCUAAAUGUUGUUUUUUUUAGUGCUCAUGUGUUCUGCUGUCUGUGUUUGCAAACCGUGUGAUGUUAAAACGUGCACCCUGUGAUGUCACCAGUGUCUGUCAUUGUAAAAAACAACAUCCAUGUCUCAAUUUUGUUCUGUUUGUCAUAAAAUGGUGUUUUAAUCUGUCUUUGUCAAGUGCUCUAACAGCCUGAUAUGUGUGCUGAGUGUUUCAAAUAAAUGUUGCAUUGAGAAAAA